AGCGAACGCUGGCGGCAGGCCUAACACAUGCAAGUCGAGCGCCCGUAGCAAUACGGGAGCGGCAGACGGGAUAGUAACACGUGGGAACGUACCCUUCAGUUCGGAACAACCCAGGGAAACUUGGGCUAAUACCGAAUACGUCCGUAAGGAGAAAGAUUUAUCGCUGAAGGAUCGGCCCGCGUCUGAUUAGCUAGUUGGUGAGGUAAUGGCUCACCAAGGCGACGAUCAGUAGCNGGUCUGAGAGGAUGAUCAGCAUCACUGGGACUGAGACACGGCCCAGACUCCUACGGGAGGCAGCAGUGGGGAAUAUUGGACAAUGGGCGCAAGCCUGAUCCAGCAAUGCCGCGUGUGU
rnacentral:rRNA from 1 species